ensembl:snRNA U6 U6 spliceosomal RNA
GUUCCCUUUGGCAGCAUGUACUAAAGCUGGAAUGAUACAGAGAAGAUUAGCAUGGCCCCUGUGCAAGUCAUUUAUGCAAAUUCUUGAAGUGUUUUAUUUUUAU